rnacentral:rRNA from 1 species
GGCGAACGCUGGCGGCGUGCUUAACACAUGCAAGUCGAACGGAAAGGCCCUGCUUGCAGGGUACUCGAGUGGCGAACGGGUGAGUAACACGUGGGUGAUCUGCCCUGCACUUCGGGAUAAGCCUGGGAAACUGGGUCUAAUACCGGAUAGGAGCCAUUUUUAGUGUGAUGGUUGGAAAGUUUUUUCGGUGUAGGAUGAGCUCGCGGCCUAUCAGCUUGUUGGUGGGGUAAUGGCCUACCAAGGCGGCGACGGGUAGCCGGCCUGAGAGGGUGGACGGCCACAUUGGGACUGAGAUACGGCCCAGACGCCUACGGGAGGCAGCAGUGGGGAAUAUUGCACAAUGGGCGCAAGCCUGAUGCAGCGACGCCGCGUGGGGGAUGACGGCCUUCGGGUUGUAAACUCCUUUCGCCAGGGACGAAGCUUUUUGUGACGGUACCUAGAUAAGAAGCACCGGCUAACUACGUG